rnacentral:rRNA from 1 species
UACAGAGGGUGCGAGCGUUAAUCGGAAUUACUGGGCGUAAAGCGCGCGUAGGCGGCUUUUCAAGUCGGAUGUGAAAUCCCCGGGCUUAACCUAGGAACUGCAUUCGAGACUGUCUAGCUAGAGUAUGGGAGAGGGAAGUGGAAUUUCAGGUGUAGCGGUGAAAUGCGUAGAUAUCUGAAGGAACAUCAGUGGCGAAAGCGACUUCCUGGACCAAUACUGACGCUCAUGUGCGAAAGCGUGGGGAGCAAACAGG